UUGGGGAUUGCUCAGCGGUAGAGCACUUGCCUAGCAAGCGCAAGGCCCUGGGUUCGGUCCCCAGCUCCAAAA
rnacentral:tRNA from 1 species